rnacentral:rRNA from 1 species
ACCUGCCUCAUACUCGGGAAUAGCCUUGCGAAAGUAAGAUUAAUGCCCGGUGUUUUCAGANNNNNGCAUGAGGCUUUGAACAAAGAUUUAUCGGUAUGAGAUGGCGAUGCGUCCCAUUAGCUUGUUGGCGGGGUAACGGCCCACCAAGGCAUCGAUGGGUAGGGGUUCUGAGAGGAAGGUCCCCCACAUUGGAACUGAGACACGGUCCAAACUCCUACGGGAGGCAGCAGUGAGGAAUAUUGGUCAAUGGGCGGAAGCCUGAACCAGCCAAGUAGCGUGCAGGAAGACGGCCCUCCGGGUUGUAAACUGCUUUUAGUUGGGAAUAAAACGGGGCUCGUGAGCCCCCUUGCAUGUACCAUCAGAAAAAGGACCGGCUAAUUCCGUGCCAGCAGCCGCGGUAAUACGGAAGGUCCGGGCGUUAUCCGGAUUUAUUGGGUUUAAAGGGAGCGCAGGCGGACCUUUAAGUCAGCUGUGAAAUACGGCGGCUCAACCGUCGAACUGCAGUUGAUACUGGAGGUCUUGAGUGCACACAGGGAUGCUGGAAUUCAUGGUGUAGCGGUGAAAUGCUCAGAUAUCACGAAGAACUCCGAUUG